UGGGGAAUAUUGCACAAUGGGCGCAAGCCUGAUGCCGCCAUGCCGCGUGUAUGAAGAAGGCCUUCGGGUUGUAAAGUACUUUCAGCGAGGAGGAAGGCGUUGUGGUUAAUAACCGCAACGAUUGACGUUACUCGCAGAAGAAGCACCGGCUCACUCCGUGCCAGCAGCCGCGGUAAUACGGAGGGUGCAAGCGUUAAUCGGAAUUACUGGGCGUAAAGCGCACGCAGGCGGUCUGUCAAGUCGGAUGUGAAAUCCCCGGGCUCAACCUGGGAACUGCAUCCGAAACUGGCAGGCUAGAGUCUUGUAGAGGGGGGUAGAAUUCCAGGUGUAGCGGUGAAAUGCGUAGAGAUCUGGAGGAAUACCGGUGGCGAAGGCGGCCCCCUGGACAAAGACUGACGCUCAGGUGCGAAAGCGUGGGGAGCAAACA
rnacentral:rRNA from 1 species